GGAGAAAUGAAGACUUCUGGAGUGCUUUGUAGUUUUCCUGCUUUCCUGCUACCUUAAUCUACACAGAGGUCUUCCAUAUUACAACCCUCGAUGGUAUCGUAGGGAGACAUGAUGACUUCUGGAGUCCUUUGUAGUUUUCCUGCUUUCCUGCUACCUUAAUCAACACAGAGGCCUUCCAUAUUACAACCCUGGACGGUAUCGUAGCGAGAAAUGAUGACUUAUGGAGUGCUUUCUAGUUUUCCUGCUUUCCUGCUACCUUAAUCUACACAGAGGCCUUCCAUAUUACAACCCUCGAUGGUACCUAUCGUAGGGAGAAAUGAUGACUUCUGGAGUCCUUUGUAGUUUUCCUGCUUUCCUGCUACAUUAAUCAACACAGAGGCCUUCCAUAUUACAACCGUCGAUGGUAUCGUAGGGAGAAACGAUGACUUCUGGAGUCCUUUGUAGUUUUCCUGCUUUCCUGCUACCUUAAUCUACACAGAGGCCUUCCAUAUUACAACCCUCGAUGGUAUCGUAGGGAGAAAUGAUGACUUCUGGAGUGCUUUGUAGUUUUCCUGCUUUCCUGCUACCUUAAUCUACACAGAGGCCUUCCAUAUUACAACCCUCGAUGGUAUCGUAGGGAGAAAUGAUGAUUUCUGGAGUCCUUUGUAGUUUUCCUGCUUUCCUGCUACAUUAAUCAACACAGAGGCCUUCCAUAUUACAACCCUCGAUGGUAUCGUAGGGAGAAAUGAUUACUUCUGGAGUCCUUUGUAGUAUUCCUGCUUUCCUGCUACCUUAAUCUACACAGAGGCCUUCCAUAUUACAACCCUCGAUGGUAUCGUAGGGAGAAAUGAUGACUUCUGGAGUGCUUUGUAGUUUUCCUGCUUUCCUGCUACCUUAAUCUACACAGAGGCCUUCCAUAUUACAACCGUCGAUGGUAUCGUAGGGAGAAACGAUGACUUCUCGAG